rnacentral:rRNA from 1 species
CAGUAGCCGCGGGAAUACGAAGGGUGCAAGCGUUAAUCGGAAUUACUGGGCGUAAAGCGCGCGUAGGUGGUUCAUUAAGUUGGAUGUGAAAGCCCUGGGCUCAACCUGGGAACUGCAUCCAAAACUGGUGAGCUAGAGUACGGUAGAGGGUAGUGGAAUUUCCUGUGUAGCGGUGAAAUGCGUAGAUAUAGGAAGGAACACCAGUGGCGAAGGCGACUACCUGGACUGAUACUGACACUGAGGUGCGAAAGCGUGGGGAGCAAACAGGAUUAGAUACCCCGGUAGUCCCUGUCUCUUAUAA